rnacentral:rRNA from 1 species
GAUGAACGCUGGCGGCGUGCCUAAUACAUGCAAGUCGAGCGAACAGACGAGGAGCUUGCUCCUCUGACGUUAGCGGCGGACGGGUGAGUAACACGUGGAUAACCUACCUAUAAGACUGGGAUAACUUCGGGAAACCGGAGCUAAUACCGGAUAAUAUAUUGAACCGCAUGGUUCAAUAGUGAAAGACGGUUUUGCUGUCACUUAUCGAUGGAUCCGCGCCGCAUUAGCUAGUUGGUAAGGUAACGGCUUACCAAGGCAACGAUGCGUAGCCGACCGGAGAGGGUGGUAGGCCACCCUGGAACGGAGCCAGGGUCCAGAGUCCUAAGGGAGGGAGCAGUCGGGAAUCUUCCGCAAUGGGCGAAAGCCUUACGGAGCAACGCCGCGUGAGUGAUGAAGGUCUUCGGAUCGUAAAACUCUGUUAUUAGGGAAGAACAAAUGUGUAAGUAACUAUGCACGUCUUGACGGUACCUAAUCAGAAAGCCACGGCUAACUACGUG